GACGAACGCUGGCGGCGUGCCUAAUACAUGCAAGUCGAGCGGACGGAUGGGAGCUUGCUCCCAGACCGUCAGCGGCGGACGGGUGAGUAACACGUGGGCAACCUGCCUGUAAGACUGGGAUAACUCCGGGAAACCGGGGCUAAUACCGGAUAACUCUUUCCCUCACAUGAGGGAAAGCUGAAAGAUGGCAUCUCGCUAUCACUUACAGAUGGGCCCGCGGCGCAUUAGCUAGUUGGUGAGGUAACGGCUCACCAAGGCGACGAUGCGUAGCCGACCUGAGAGGGUGAUCGGCCACACGGGGACUGAGACACGGCCCAGACUCCUACGGGAGGCAGCAGUAGGGAAUCUUCCGCAAUGGACGAAAGUCUGACGGAGCAACGCCGCGUGAGUGAUGAAGGUGUUCGGAUCGUAAAACUCUGUUGUCAGGGAAGAACAAGUACCGGAGUAACUGCCGGUACCUUGACGGUACCUGACCAGAAAGCCACGGCUAACUACGUG
rnacentral:rRNA from 1 species